UAUUUUUAUGCUGAACAAUUUUAGAGCAACUAGGAAGAGGAAAAUAAAUAAUUUGAGAUUGUGGAUGGAUUUUGGAGUCAUGCAUGCACGUGCACUCCUUUACAGUGUAUUCUGGUUCUUGUCAGUCCCAAGCAGUAACUUCUACCCUUUCACCUGACUUGCAAUGCUGAAGUUUCUGCAAGCCUCAAAUCUCAUUUUUAUUUCACUUUGGGGAAAAUGGAGGCAGAGAUGUUUAAAAAAAAAAAAAAAAAAAAAGAGAAAAGAAGAAAAAAAGGAAGAAAGAAACCCUCAAAACUGCAGCCCCCCAAGCCCCCACUUCUAUACCACCCGUCCAAACAUGGAACAUAUUUUAGCAGAAGUGCCCCAGCUCUAUCAUAUGUGCUGUGCAGAGUCAUCAUGGCCAUGGUGCAUAGCUGAGAGCCGGAAAGCAAACAGCUGCUGUAGCCUGAUUUGAGUUAAAAUAGUGUCAGUGUUUAGUCUGGCGCAGUGCUUCAGGAGAGAUUGGCAGCUGGGUCAAACAAAGUCAUUCCAUUGGCUCCCUUCCCAGUAAGCUUCUGCUAGUAUUUAGGUACUAGUGCAGCCUAGGCCCCUUUUCUCAGGGAUAGCCUAACAUCUGACCGCACCCUCUUUGCUUUUUAAAAAAUGCCGUUUCACUCUUUAAGAUAAAUCCUCUAUUAUACAAUCUGCCACUAAUUGUGUAUUAAGACUGUUUUUCUCUCGAAAGCUGACGCAUCCUGCUCUCAACAUGGUGUAGAAAGCAGGCUGUUACAGUGCUGGAUUAAUAAAAGGGGCCUUUAUGGUUUGUGAAAGAAUAUCUGUGCUUAGGCAGGAAACUUUUUGAUCCACAGAAAAGCCAGACGACAUCUAGAACAAGAGAAGCCAACUUUAGGAGCAUGCAUAUUGUGAUAUCCUCAGCGAUUUCUUUUACAAUGCACUCUGCUCAGGCCAGUGAAUUUUGUUUAACUGACUGGUGAAAGAAAAAAAUUUAAAUGAAAAAGGAAACUGAAGAAGUUAAUUAUACCAGAAUUCAACGAAGCUGAACGGCUUCCAGAAGAGCACUGAGUUUUCUAUGCCAGAUUCUGCUCCAGUGGCUAGGACCUUUAUGGCUGCUGUUUCUUUUGCUCUGGGCUCUGAUGGAGGAAAAAAAAAAAAAAGCCACGGUGGAUCCUGUCCCUAAAGUAGAAAUUUUCUUUUUCGUUCUGCAAACAAGGCUAAAGAUCGGAGGAGAAUGAAUGCGAAAGUAAUUCGGGAUUGUGGUCGUGCCAUUAAAAGUGUUCGGCUUCAGAAUGAAAUUAUUCGGGAAACCCGAGCAUUUCUUCUUACUGUAUCGACAGUAUUUGAAAGUUAUGUGUGCUUUGAGUAAUCUGGUUCAAGUGACAACAGUCUCUGCAUGUCAAUGUUUUCUACAGCUUAUGGAGCGAAAGCUAGUUUUGCCAUUGGAAAGGAAGAAGCUUUUGCUAGCAGUCUGUAGAAGGAUUAAAUGUUGAACGUGGGGAAGAGGCAAAAAGUGAAUACACACCCAAAGGUUAUCCUUGCAACGUGAAUGGCUUUAAAGUACUCUGUAACCCAGGGCCCACCUGAACAGUAGGACUAAAAGUAUAAUGGGGGAAUAUUUCAAUUAGAAACCCCUUAACAAGCAUUUAAUCCUUCUUUCAGGCAGUAAGGGAAAUAGAAUAAAAUUGUUACUGUACAAAUCUGCUGGAAGCAGAUUUUAACCCAUUUUUAGACGCUUCCCUCUGAUGCAUUAUAAUAUGGCUACUUGCAAGAUGAGGCAGUGAAGAUUUUUUUUCCUGUGUUCUUUGAUUUUUCUUUUCAAAAGUUAAGGACGAUACUCUAAGAAAAGUCUGUUCAGUCAGCUGAUAGAUUGUUUGAAUGUAUGUAUGCCUCUUGCCUGCUUAUUUGAUCUUUUCUGCCCCCUACUUGAAACUGUGGUUUGUUUAUUUGGGGGGAAGGAGGGGUUGUUGAUUUGGAGGGGGAUGUUGGUUUGGGGGUUUGUUUUAGUUUGGGGGGGGGUUUUAACGAUAGCAGUGAAAGUUUUACUGACAGCGAUUAUGACUACUAAGCAAUUCAGUUUAUUGGAAGACGAAUUCUACUGGAUCAUAUCGGACUUUUCCUAGUCCCUGAGACCCUAACUUGUGAGGUUUUUUAGCAACAAUCACAAGUCAGGCUCUUGGGACCUAGGCGGAGGGGAACCAGCAGCUUUGGACUGUGAUUGUUUCUCUGCAGAAUUUAGAGAACCAAAGGAGCUUUCCUUGUCUGGAAGGGAAAAAGGAAAAUAUACCUAAUUCAAAUGUUAAGCAGCAGAACUGUUCCUAAAACAAAAAAAACCCUAUUAUCCACUGUGCAACAUUAGCAUGUUACAUAUUUGUAUGUUUAGAAAACUGGACUAGAUGCCAUGUAACAUUUAGAAUUAAAAUUUAACCUGAAUGCCAGUUUACACCUCAAAAAACCAAACAAAAACCAAAACAAAACAAAACCAAGCCCCAACUCAAAACAGAUACUAAAAUAUACAAAAGGCUUUCAACCAUAUUAUUAUUAUUAUUAUUAUUAUUAUUAUUAUAGACAAUUUUGAUAGGUAUUUACCACAAAGUAUAUUUUCAGCUGUAUUCUUACAGCAUUAAUUAACUUUUAAAACAUAAAGCAUAAACGCUGAUGUUUGAGGCCUAGAAAACAUUCAUUCUAUUAUUGUUUGAAUAAUGAUUUCAGUCUACAGGAAAACUGUUGCUUAGCUUUUCCUGUAACGUGGGACAAAGAUUAUUUUGCAGCUAGUUGCCAUCAUUUUUCUUUGUCUAGGUGAGAACACAAUAUGGGAUUUAAAAUAUUCUCUCAUUUAAUUUACAUUUUAAUCUGAUAGAGAAUAUUGGUGGGAAAAAUCAUACUACAGCAUUAAAACCACUUUGCACACAGAAUCACAUUUCUUGUACCUGUUCAAUUUAAACUGAGCCAGCAAUACUCUAAGCACCAGACUCGACUUCUAGCUUCUCCAUCACUUUUUGCAUUUUUUCCCCCUCUGACAAAAAACAGAGUGAGAUUUAGGUUGUCCCUCAUGUAUUAAGUACUUCACUGACUUUGCAUAAGAGGAUUCACAAGCAUGCAAGUUAUUCUGCACUGUUCAUCAGCCUUGAACUUCUGAUCUAUAACACAUAAUUUGAUUUGUAUUUCUUAAAAUUUUAUAGGUGGGUUAGUUCUGAGCCAUUUUUCUCUGUUUCCUGGGUCUAACCCAAGAUGCUGCAGGACCUUGUUGAUACAUCAGACUUCACUGAGACAAAGGCUUCACACAGAUCAGGCAUCUAAACUAUUUGUUCAUUUCAAAAGUGGUAUUUUGGCUGUAGUAUAUUUUUUCCACUUGUAUGGGAGGAAUUGUGUUUUAUUGUAAGCAUCAACACUAUUGUUAAAAUAAAUUGUUCUUAUCUGUUAGUAUAA